AUUGAACGCUGGCGGCAUGCCUUACACAUGCAAGUCGAACGGCAGCACGGGAGCAAUCCUGGUGGCGAGUGGCGAACGGGUGAGUAAAGUAUCGGAACGUGCCCAGUCGUGGGGGAUAACGUAGCGAAAGUUACGCUAAUACCGCAUACGAUCUAUGGAUGAAAGCGGGGGAUCGCAAGACCUCGCGCGAUUGGAGCGGCAGAUAUCAGAUUAGGUAGUUGGUGGGGUAAAGGCCCACGAAGCCGACGAUCUGUAGCUGGUCUGAGAGGACGACCAGCAAAACUGGGACUGGGACACGGCACAGACUCCGACGGGAGGCAGCAGUGGGGAAUUUUGGACAAUGGGCGAAAGCCUGAUCCAGCCAUGCCGCGUGCAGGAUGAAGGCCUUCGGGUUGUAAACUGCUUUUGUACGGAACGAAAAGGUUUGGCCUAAUAAGCUGAGCUCAUGACGGUACGGUAAGAAUAAGCACCGGCUAACUACGUGCCAGCCGCCGCCGUAA
rnacentral:rRNA from 1 species